GGACUACACGGGUUUCUAAUCCCGUUCGCUCCCCUGGCUUUCGUGUCUCAGCGUCAGCACACCCCCAGUCAGCUGUUUUCACCGUUGGCGUUCCAAAUGAUAUCUACGCAUUUCACCGCUCCACCAUUUGUUCCGCUGACCCCUAGGUGGCUCAAGACCGCCAGUCUGCCCAGCCGUUCCCCGGUUGAGCCGGGGGAUUUCACAAGGCACUUAACGAUCCGCCUACACACGCUUUAAGCCCAGUGAUUCCGCCUAACGCUUGGCACCUCUGUCUUACCGCGGCUGCUGGCAC
rnacentral:rRNA from 1 species